GGGUCCCGCCCAGUUCAACCUUCUCUUUCUUUUCUUUUUGUGUGUUUCCUUAUUGGGUUCCAGUUCUGUCAGCCUUCUCCCUCAUGCAACUUUUCUGGGGAAAAAGAAAAAAAAGCUGAGCUUGAAGUUGUCAUGUUUAAUGCUUCAGGGUUUAAUAUUUGAUUUUUUUUUUUCAGGUUUAUGUCAUUACUCAAAUGUACAUCAAGAUCCUUGCUUUCUUCGUUUCACCAGCUUAAACCCACUUCAAGAAACAGGUCAGAUGGAAACAACCUCUGUGAGAUAUCUCAUCAACAGCAUCUGUCGAUUUAUUCAUCUCACAUCAUGCCAGAAAAUAAAAGUUGUUCCCAUGGAAAAGAAUUACAGAAAUAUGGUUGUUGUGUUAAAAAUUUUAAAACCACUGCUUGAUGAUAUUGUUGAUUGCAAGAUACCUUCAGAUGAAACUCUAUAUAAAGAGUGCGAAGAGCUAGAUUUGCUUGUGAAUGAGGCUCGAGAAUUCGUGGAGAAGUGGUGUUAUAAUAUGAGCAAAAUCCACAGGGUUCUUCAGAGUGAGUCUUUUCUGAUAAAAAUGCAAAGCUCUUCGCUUCAGAUAUGUCAAGUAUUACAUAGAUCAUUGCAAUCAUCACUAUCCACUUCAAGUAUAACCACUGUUCAGCACUGUAUGCGGGAAAUUAAACAUCUACAGCAGGAGAGACCAUUGGAAAAUGUAGGAGAGGCUUUGAGAAGUCUAAGAGAUGAUGCUAUUCCUUGCACUGAUCAUUUGAUAAAAGUUUUCAAAUCACUGAACUUGUCGUCAACCCAGGAGUUGUUCAAAAAAACUGUGGCUGUGGAAAAAGAGAGAAUGAAUGUGCAAGUCAACAGUGCAAAAGGGAAAUUAGAUCAAAUCAACCAGAUUGUGGAUCUCAUCUCUUGUAUACGUGAUUAUAUGCUUAAAACACAGCACUUUGUACCCACAUGUGGUAUUUUGAUACCUCCACGCUUCCUUUGCCCCUUGUCGUUGGAACUUAUGAUGGAUCCUGUUAUUGUCGCUUCUGGGCAAACUUAUGACCGCACUUCCAUCCAAAAGUGGCUUGAUAGUGGACUGUCCAUUUGCCCAAAGACACAUCAAACACUUACACAUACAAAGCUCAUUCCAAAUGACAUAGUCAAAGCUAUGGUAGCAAGUUGGUGUGAGGAAAACAACUUACAACUUUCUAGUAACAGCGGCCGUGCAAAACUUGUCUCAAUUUCUCCUUCAAAUCAUUUAUCAUCUCAAGAUUUAACUCACACUGAUAGUACUUGCUUUGCAAACGGUAGUUGCUCCACAUCAAGAUCAUCUCCUGAAGGUGGAAAUGGUUUAGAGAAGCAGAAGAUUGACACCUCUUCAAAAUAUAACCAAGUAUGCUAUGGAUACCAAAGCAGGGACAUUGACAAGUAUGAUCAGCAAUCCUCCAAUCAGUCAUUUUUUCACAGCAGGACUGAAUCAGCCUCAAGUGAAGUUUCUAGCAUUGAUUGUGCCUCUAGUAGUUCAAAGAAACAUGAAAGGAAUGACUUAGCUGAAAUUUCAUCUGAGGGCCUUGGUACUUCCUCAUUAACAAAAGAAUCUGGACUUUCUUCCUGGAUAACAGGAAAGCAGUUGCAGGCCUCUGGAGCAAAAAUAGAAAAGUCAGUCAACGGAAACCAUAAUUAUAACAGCCCUUAUUUCAUUGAAUCUGGGUCAGGAUGUGAUGAUUUGACCACGAGUUCCCAUGUGAAGACGUUAGUGGACAACCUUAAAAGCCUAUCCAAUGAAGUCCAAACAGCAGCUGCUGCAGAAUUGCGCUUUCUUGCAAAGCACAACAUGGAAAAUCGAAUAAUUAUAGGUCAAUGUGGUGCUAUUGCGCCAUUACUUUCUCUAUUAUACUCAAAAGUAAAGCUAACGCAAGAGCAUGCUGUUACAGCCCUUCUAAACCUCUCAAUUAAUGAAGAUAACAAGGCUAGAAUUGCAAAAUCGGGAGCAAUAGAGCCACUAAUUCAUGUUUUAAAGUCUGGAAAUGCUGGAGCCAAAGAAAACUCUGCGGCAGCUUUGUUCAGUCUUUCUGUCUUGGAAGAGUACAAGGCAAGGAUCGGCCGCUCGGGUGCUGUAAAAGCCUUGGUAAAUCUUCUAGGCUCAGGAACAUUGAGAGGAAGAAAAGAUGCUGCUACUGCUUUGUUUAACUUGUCAAUCUUUCAUGAAAAUAAGGCUCGUAUAGUGCAAGCUGGCACGGUGAAAUACCUUGUCAAGUUUUUGGAUCCUGAUAGCGGGAUGGUUGACAAGGCAGUUGCUCUUCUCUCGAACCUGUCCACAAUUGCGGAAGGGCGUUUGGCAAUUGUACAGGAAGGCGGUAUCCCAGUACUAAUGGAAGUUGUUGAAUCAGGGUCGCCGAGGGGUAAGGAAAAUGCUGCCUCUGCAUUGCUGCAACUAUGCCUUAACAGUUCCAAGUUUUGUACCUUGGUUUUGCAAGAAGGGGCCAUUCCAUCCCUAGUUGCACUGUCUCAGUCCGGCACACCAAGAGCAAAGGAAAAGGCACAGCAGCUUCUUAGUCACUUCCGGAAUCAGAGAGAAGGUGCGACAGGGAAGGGCAGGAUGUGACAUAUGAUAACUUGUGUUAUAUUUUUAUUUUCUGAUUCUUUUGAUACCCUUCUUGCAUGUAAGUUGUUCUUUUCUCAUUUUAUCUUGUUGGAGCUCUCUCUUCCCAUACGUUCUUUAGUUGUCAAGCUAUAUGCAUGGGCAUUGUGAACUCUAUUCUUUGUUUCUUUUUGAUCCCUAUGGGAAAAUAGGGCAAGCUUUCCAGUGAGGUGUUCGGUUUGACGAUAAUUUACUUCGAAUAUUUCCAUGGAGCAUAAUAGCUUGCCGUAGGAUUAUGGACAGCAUGCAAUAUUCGAUAAUAGGUCAAUUUGGGCAGUGCUGUCACCUAAAAGUUGCAGCAUUCAUUCAAGGCCCUACUUCUCUAGUCGUAUGUUUUAGUGUUUAGGAAAAAGGGAGUAGCCGAAGGCAUACACUGGUCCACUCAUGUUAGUCAUGGGAUGGGCUGAAAGUGAAAUUAUACAACAGCUGGCAUUUAUGGUACCAUUCCAUAAUAAUUAAUACUUCUGACCAGACUCCUCCGGUGUUUGAUCUCUCAUGGCCUUUCCACCACUUUUCUUUCUUUAAUGAUGUCAGAGGGUAGAAUUUGUGAUUCCAAUUGCACCCGUAAGCACUUUGAUUCACAUUUUGUUGUUAGCAAGAUGAAGAACGUUUCUCUGUUUAGUGUUUUUUUCUACCGCAAAUAAUAAAUAAUUUUGCCGACAGACAUUAACUUGA